rnacentral:rRNA from 1 species
GACGAACCGUGCGAACGUUAUUCGGAAUCACUGGGCUUAAAGGGCGCGUAGGCGGGCAGGCAAGUCGAAGGUGAAAUCCCACGGCUCAACCGUGGAAGUGCCCCCGAUACUGCCUGUCUGGAGGGAGAUAGGGGCGUGCGGAACUUCCGGUGGAGCGGUGAAAUGCGUAGAUAUCGGAAGGAACACCGGUGGCGAAAGCGGCGCGCUGGAUCUCUUCUGACGCUGAGGCGCGAAAGCCAGGGGAGCGAACGGG